AGGACGAACGCUGGCGGCGUGCUUAACACAUGCAAGUCGAGCGGAAAGGCCCUUCGGGGUACUCGAGCGGCGAACGGGUGAGUAACACGUGAGCAGCCUGCCCUUAGCUCCGGGAUAGCUCCGGGAAACCGGAAUUAAUACCGGAUACGACCACGGCUGACAUCUACUGUGGUGGAAAGGAUUCCGGCUAAGGAUGGGCUCGCGGCCUAUCAGCUAGUUGGUGGAGUAACGGCCCACCAAGGCGACGACGGGUAGCCGGCCUGAGAGGGCGACCGGCCACACUGGGACUGAGACACGGCCCAGACUCCUACGGGAGGCAGCAGUGGGGAAUAUUGCGCAAUGGGCGAAAGCCUGACGCAGCGACGCCGCGUGGGGGAUGAAGGCCUUCGGGUUGUAACCCUUUCAGCAGGGACGAAGCGAAGUGACGGUACCUGCAGAAGAAGCGCCGGCUAACUACGCGCCAGCAGCCGC
rnacentral:rRNA from 1 species